UAAACAAAGUUUUUGUUCCAAAUAUAGACCCUAAAGUCAAAAGUCACAAAAAUAGGUUUCACUAAAGCGAUGAUUUACUAUUAUACCCCUUCUUUUGAUUAAUUAAAAAAAAUUAAGUCGCCAUCUCCCAUCGUCUCCGUCGUCUCCCAUCGUCUCCGUCGUCUCCCGUCGUCUCCGUCGUCUCCGUCGUCUCCGCACCGUCUCUUUCGUCUCCACAUCGUCUCCGCGUUGUCUCUGCGUCAUCUCAGUCGUCGUCUCAACCUAUAAUAAUGAGAUCAGAUCGCCGCUGUCAAAUCAUCUCUAUAACAUCAUCGUCUGCUUUGUAUCUGAGAAAUCUUCGUUGAUUCAACCAUUUGCAGCUUUAAUUCAAAGAAUGUUUUUUUGUGCAGCUCAGUGUCGGCACUCUGUGUGUGUUCCGAGUGGUCUUAUUACACACUUUGUUCACCUCUAUUGCAGGUCCAGUUAACAAGAGCAAUUUUGGUGUAGAUACCCAGAUGAUUUCUUGGACAUUGCUAAGAACAGGAGUUCAUACGGCACGAGAUCCCUUGUGUACUCGUGGAUUACAUUGUGUAGUACGUUUGCAAACCUGGAUACGCACUUGACCAGCACGUUCUCUACAAUACAAACGCAUGGGCAGAACCGCAGAAAGGUCAUUUAAUAAGCUCCAGCUUAGUGCUGAAGAGUGAAGACUGAAGAGGAAGAAGCUCAGCUGUUGCAAUGUUGCUUGGGAAUCACUGAGCUAUGAUAACCUUUGUAAACCCAAAUCAUUUCUCAAUUCUCCAUGCUCCAUGUUCGAUCCUGCACAUAAUCUUUUUUUGUAAUUUAAUAAAAAGCUGUUGAUUAUAUUAUUUUUCUUACAUCAGCAAACGAUUAUAACACUC